UACGGAGGGUGCGAGCGUUAAUCGGAAUUACUGGGCGUAAAGCGUACGCAGGCGGUUUGUUAAGCGAGAUGUGAAAGCCCCGGGCUCAACCUGGGAACUGCACUUGAAACUGUCGAACUAGAGUAUUGGAGAGGUAAGUGGAAUUCCAGGUGUAGCGGUGGAAUGCGUAGAUAUCUGGAGGAACACCAAAAGCGAAGGCAGCUUACUGGACAAUUACUGACGCUGAUGGACGAAAGCGUGGGUAGCGAACAGG
rnacentral:rRNA from 1 species